AUUGAACGCUGGCGGCAUGCCUUACACAUGCAAGUCGAACGGUAACGGGCCUUCGGGUGCCGACGAGUGGCGAACGGGUGUGUAAUACAUCGGAACGUGCCCGAUCGUGGGGGAUAACGAGGCGAAAGCUUUGCUAAUACCCCAUACGAUCUACGGAUGAAAGCAGGGGACCGCAAGGCCUUGCGCGGACGGAGCGGCCGAUGGCAGAUUAUGUAGUUGGUGGGAUAAAAGCUUACCAAGCCGACGAUCUGUAGCUGGUCUGAGAGGAUGAUCCGCCACACUGGGACUGAGACACGGCCCAGACUCCGACGGGAGGCAGCAGUGGGGAAUUUUGGACAAUGGGCGCAAGCCUGAUCCAGCCAUGCCGCGUGCAGGAUGAAGGCCUUCGGGUUGUAAACUGCUUUUGUACGGAACGAAAAGCCUUCUUUUAAUACAGGAGGGUCAUGACGGUACCGGAAGAAUAAGCACCGGCUAACUACGUG
rnacentral:rRNA from 1 species